UUACUAUAAAACUUCUGAUUAACAGCAAUCAGUACACCACCGCCGCUGGUUUUAUCAGAAUUCGAUGAGGAUCUAUCGCAACGAAAGCAUAAACAUCGAAAUCACGCUCCAGUGCGGACAUGAAGACAGCUUCGAGCCGGCUACUGCUUCGGAUACUAUUCAUAUUCUGAUGAAUCACGCAAGCAACAGUUAUACACUUCUGGAC